rnacentral:rRNA from 1 species
UACGUAGGGCGCAAGCGUUGUCCGGAAUUAUUGGGCGUAAAGAGCUCGUAGGCGGUCAGUCGCGUCUGCUGUGAAAACUCGGGGCUUAACUCCGGGCCUGCAGUGGGUACGGGCUGACUAGAGUGCGGUAGGGGAGACUGGAAUUCCUGGUGUAGCGGUGAAAUGCGCAGAUAUCAGGAGGAACACCGGUGGCGAAGGCGGGUCUCUGGGCCGUAACUGACGCUGAGGAGCGAAAGCGUGGGGAGCGAACAGG